rnacentral:rRNA from 1 species
AACCCCAGUCAAUAGAACUACGGCGUAAAACGUGAUUAAGGGCCUUUCUCUCCCAUAAAGUCAAACCCUGGCUAUGCCGUAAAAAGCCACAGCCACUGUAAGCUCCACCACGAAAGUGACUUUAAAUUACCUGAAUACACGACAGCUAAGACCCAAACUGGGAUUAGAUACCCCACUAUGCUUGGCCAUAAACCCAAAGAAUCGACCUAACAAGAUUCUUCGCCAGAGUACUACUAGCCAAAGCUUAAAACUCAAGGGACUUGGCGGUGCUUUAUAUCCCUCUAGAGGAGCCUGUUCUAUAAUCGAUAAACCCCGAUAAACCUCACCAACCCUCGCCAACC